rnacentral:rRNA from 1 species
UACGGGGGGGGCAAGCGUUGUUCGGAAUUACUGGGCGUAAAGGGCUCGUAGGUGGCCAACUAAGUCAGACGUGAAAUCCCUCGGCUUAACCGGGGAACUGCGUCUGAUACUGGAUGGCUUGAGGUUGGGAGAGGGAUGUGGAAUUCCAGGUGUAGCGGUGAAAUGCGUAGAUAUCUGGAGGAACACCGGUGGCGAAGGCGACAUCCUGGACCGGUAUUGACGCUGAGGCGCGAAAGCCAGGGGAGCAAACGGG